CCUACGGGGGGCAGCAGUGGGGAAUAUUGGACAAUGGGGGCAACCCUGAUCCAGCCAUGCCGCGUGUGUGAAGAAGGCCCUCGGGUUGUAAAGCACUUUCAGUGAGGAAGAACGCCUGGUGGUUAAUACCCAUCAGGAAAGACAUCACUCACAGAAGAAGCACCGGCUAACUCCGUGCCAGCAGCCGCGGUAAUACGGAGGGUGCGAGCGUUAAUCGGAAUUACUGGGCGUAAAGCGCGCGUAGGUGGCUUGAUAAGCCGGUUGUGAAAGCCCCGGGCUCAACCUGGGAACGGCAUCCGGAACUGUCAAGCUAGAGUGCAGGAGAGGAAGGUAGAAUUCCCGGUGUAGCGGUGAAAUGCGUAGAGAUCGGGAGGAAUACCAGUGGCGAAGGCGGCCUUCUGGACUGACACUGACACUGAGGUGCGAAAGCGUGGGUAGCAAACAGGAUUAGAUACCCGUGUAGUA
rnacentral:rRNA from 1 species